GCCGGUAGAAAGUGGCGAACGGGUGAGUAACGCGUGGGUAAUCUACCCUGUAAGUGGGGGAUAACCCUCCGAAAGGAGGGCUAAUACCGCAUAACAUCUUCCCUUCAUAAGAAGGAGAGAUUAAAGAUGGCCUCUUUAUAUGCUAUCACUUCAGGAUGAGUCCGCGUCCUAUUAGUUAGUUGGUAGGGUAAUGGCCUACCAAGACCACAAUGGGUAGCCGGUCUGAGAGGAUGUACGGCCACACUGGGACUGAGAUACGGCCCAGACUCCUACGGGGGGCAGCAGUGGGGAAUAUUGCGCAAUGGGGGAAACCCUGACGCAGCGACGCCGCGUGGAUGAUGAAGGCCCUUGGGUUGUAAAAUCCUGUUCUGGGGGACGAAACCUUAAGGGUCCAAUAGGCCCUUAAGCUGACGGUACCCCAAGAGAAAGCUCCGGCUAAUUAUGUGCCAGCAGCCGCGGUAAUACAUAAGGAGCAAGCGUUGUCCGGAAUUAUUGGGCGUAAAGAGCUCGUAGGCGGUCUUAAAAGUCAGGUGUGAAAUUAUCAGGCUUAACCUGGUAAGGUCAUCUGAAACUCUAAGACUUGAGGAUAGAAGAGGAAAG
rnacentral:rRNA from 1 species